rnacentral:rRNA from 1 species
AGCGUAUAUUAAAGUUGCUGCAGUUAAAAAGCUCGUAGUUGAAUUUCGGGAUCAAGUCGUCGGUCGUGCUCAGGUACGUACUGGCGUCAUUGAUUUCUCCCUUCUGACGAACCAUGAUGUCAUUAAUUUGGUGUUAUGGGAAAUCAGGACUGUUACUUUGUAAAAAUUAGAGUGUUUAAAGCAGGCUCACGCUUGAAUACAUUAGCAUGGAAUAAUGAAAUAGGACGUUCGAUCCUAUUUUGUUGGUUUUUAGGAUCGACGUAAUGAUUAAUAGGGAUAGUUGGGGGCAUUAGUAUUCAAUUGUCAGAGGUGAAAUUCUUGGAUUUAUUGAAGACUAACUACUGCGAAAGCAUUUGCCAAGGAUGUUUUCAUUAAUCAAGAACGAAAGUUAGGGGAUCGAAGACGAUCAGAUACCGUCGUAGUCUUAACCAUAAACUAUGCCGACUAGGGAUCGGAUGAUGUUAAUUUUUUAAUGACUCAUUCGGCGC